rnacentral:rRNA from 1 species
AACGAACGCUGGCGGCAGGCUUAACACAUGCAAGUCGAACGGGCGUAGCAAUACGUCAGUGGCAGACGGGAGAGUAACACGUGGGAAUAUGCCCUUCAGUUCGGAAUAACGCAGGGAUACUUGAGCUAAUACCGGAUAAGUCCUUCGGGAGAGCGAUUUAUCGAUGAGGGAUUAGCGCGCGUCGGAUUAGCUAGUUGGUGAGGUAAUGGCUCACCAAGGCGACGAUCAGUAGGUGGUCUGGGAGGAUGAUUAGCCACACGGGGACUGAGACACGGCCCAGACUCCUACGGGAGGCAGCAGUGGGGAAUAUUGGACAAUGGGGGAAACCCUGAUCCAGCCAUGCCGGGUGAGUGAUGAAGGCCUUAGGGUUGUAAAGCUCUUUUGCCAGGGAAGAUAAUGACUGUACCUGGAGAAUAAGCCCCGGCUAACUUCGUGCCAGCCGCCGCGGUAA